AAGCUAUGUAGCCAUGCUGGAGAAGUGUUAAGCCACAGCUGCAAGUUUAUGAGUUGGGCUCUGCACCUUGCUAACUACAGGCACAGCUCAGAGCACAAGCAGAGGGAGCUCCCAUCUGCUGGUUGAAGGUGGAGGAUAAAGGAUCACCAUGGCACUGAGACUGGAGACAAUUCUCUUAACACCGAUAGCGUGCAAGCAUGUCCAUUGGAAAAUAAUCUGCCGUUAGUGACUA